rnacentral:rRNA from 1 species
GUUUUCUUUUUUUUUUUUUUUUUUUUUUUUUUUUUUUUAUAAAAGUUUAUUUUUUUGUUCAUUAUUUUUUUUGAUACAAUUUUUUUUAAUUUAGUUUAUUUAACUGUCAAGGUUUAUUUUUCUUAACUUUUUGAAGAUGAAUUUUUUUUUUUACCUUUUGUGUCAGGGUUAAUUAAUUUUAAAAAUUUAUUUUUUUUUCCCGAAUCAUUUAGGGAUCUAUAUAAUUUUGAAUUUUAUUGUUGAAUAAAUAUUUAUAAAUUUUAUAUAGUUUUGAAAUGAAAUUCGUUCAAUGUUUUAUCUGGUUGUUUGAGAUUUUAAUUUAAUUAAGGAUAUCUUUUUUUAUUUUUUUUUUUUUUGAUUUCUAAGAUUUAGGGGGAUAAGCUCUUUUUUUUAUUAUAAUUUUUUUUUAUUUUCAAAUUUGUAGGAUUAGAAUUUUCCAUCAUUUUAAGUUUUUAAAAAAUUUUUUUUUUUAUUUUUUUUUAUUUAAUUAUUUAUUGGACUUUUUUAUUUAAUUUUUUUUAUUUUGAUAAUGAUUGAAUUAGUAAAAUUUAAUUUUUUUUUUAUGAACUCGGCAAAUAUAAAUUUUCGCCUGUUUAUCAAAAACAUGUCUUUUAGUUUUUUUUAAAGGUUUAACCUGCUCAAUGAUAAUUUAAAUAGCCGCAGUAUUUUAACUGUGCAAAGGUAGCAUAAUAAUUAGUCUUUUAAUUGAGGUCUGGAAUGAAUGGUUGAACGAGAAAUUUACUUUAUUAAUUAAAAUAUUUUGAAUUUAUGAAUUAAGUUAAAAUACUUAAAUUGUUUAGAGGGACGAUAAGACCCUAUAGAUCUUUAAAAUAUUAAUUUUUCUUUCUUUUUGUUGUUUUAUAUAUAGAUUUUUAAUUUUUUUUAGUUGGGGUGAUUUACAAAAUUUUAAACUUUGUUUUAUUUUUACAUUCAUUUAUGUUUUUUUUGAUCCUUUUUUUUUGAUUAAAAGAUAAAGAUACCUUAGGGAUAACAGCGUUAUUUAUUUGGAGAGUUCUAAUCGAUGAAUAAGUUUGCGACCUCGAUGUUGGAUUAAGUUGUGUUUGUGGGGUAGGUUUUACAAAACUGGGUCUGUUCGACCUUUAAAAAUUUACAUGAUCUGAGUUCAAACCGGUGUAAGCCAGGUUGGUUUCUAUCUUCUUUCUGUUUCUUCUGAUUAGUACGAAAGGACU